UACGUAGGGGGCAAGCGUUGUCCGGAUUUAUUGGGCGUAAAGAGCGUGUAGGCGGCUAGGUAGGUCCGUUGUGAAAACUCGAGGCUCAACCUCGAGACGUCGAUGGAAACCAUCUAGCUAGAGUCCGGAAGAGGAGCGUGGAAUUCCCAGUGUAGAGGUGAAAUUCGUAGAUAUUGGGAAGAACACCGGUGGCGAAGGCGGCGCUCUGGACCGAGACUGACGCUGAGGCGCGAAGGCGUGGGGAGCAAACAGG
rnacentral:rRNA from 1 species